rnacentral:tRNA from 1 species
GAGGGUAUAGCUCAGUGGUAGAGUGCCUGCUUAGCAUGCAGGAGGUUCUGGGUUCAAUCUCUAGUCCCUCCA